AGGACAAACGCUGGCGGCGUGCCUAAGACAUGCAAGUCGGACGGGGGCUUCGGCUCUAGUGGCGGACGGGUGAGGAACGCGUGAAUGACCUGCCCUGAUGGUGGGGGAUACCAGCCAGAAAUGGCUGCUAAGACCGCAUACGACCUGGUGCUGCGAGGCGCUUGGGGAAAGCCGUGAGGCGCCGGAGGAGGGGUUCGCGUCGGAUUAGCUAGUUGGUGGGGUAACGGCCUACCAAGGCGACGAUCCGUAGCUGGUCUGAGAGGACGGCCAGCCACACUGGGACUGAGACACGGCCCAGACUCCUACGGGAGGCAGCAGUUAGGGAAUUUUGACAAUGGGCGCAAGCCUGAUCGAGUGACGCCGCGUGUGGGAUGACGCCUUUCGGGGUGUAAACCACUUUUCUUCGGGUACGAGAGCGGACGGUACCGGAGGAAGAAGCCUCGGCUAACUACGUGCCAGCAGCCGC
rnacentral:rRNA from 1 species